AAGAUUCAAAAUUUUAUUCUUCUCUAUCACAAAAUUUUCCUCUAGUGGGACCACAGACACACACAACUCACACCCACCCGUCUCCUUCCAACUCAAUUUUCUCUCCCUCAUCUCUCUUGUAAAACAGAACACAAAAGAAAAAGGAGAAGAUCAGCCAAGAAACCCCAUUGAAACCAGCUAAAAAACACAUCAAAACUCAGCCACUAAACAGUCCCAAAAUCACUCCGAAAACAGCCUGAAAUCACCCCCUAAAACAGUUCAAAAAGCAUCAAAAACAGCCCUAAAAAUGAGCUGAAAACCUCCACCAAACAGCUCCGAAAACAGUCUCGAAACACCCCAGAAAUAGUCUUGUCUCCGUUGUAAUUAAACCAUCUCCAACCAGCUCCUUUUCCUCUAACAAACAGCUACAAAACCGUCUUGAAACCAGUCCCAAACCCAACCAGAAACGAUCCUCAUUUCUGUUUUCAAAACGACACCACAGGUUCCUAAAAAAUGACACGAAGACGUACAUGUCGCAACUGAGGUUCCUUCGGCUUCCGUCGCUCGUGGUUUGCUAUUAAGGUACAAUGAAAGCGUUGUUGUUGUGCUCAUUUUCAACUGCUGUAGAUCUCAUUUAGCGAAUAAACAUUGGAGGUCUACUUUCUAUUUUUGUUUUGCGUUGGAGAUAUAAAAAUUUAUGUUUCGUUCAUAUUAUUUUUUUUAGACAAACUUUGAAUGCAUCUUGAUUUUGCUUGAGUGCAUUGACUGUUGGAUACUUUGUUAUUCUUCAUUUCUUUGCCUACUGUGUUAGCAUUGAACUUGCUUCAAUAGUUUCCUUUUUGCUUAAGAGUUUUAUUGGUAGUUUGGACCUGAGUUUAAUUAAUAAUGGGCUGGAUUACAAAAUGAACUAUUAACUAAGAUAUUUGGGCCAUGGGGUGGUAAGAACUUGGUUAUUUAGAGUUUAAAUGGGGCAUAGAUAUAUGUAAGAACCGUGUGGUAUAAGACUUGAGCCAUGUGAAAAUAAACUGAAGAGAAUGUCAAUUUUGUUAGAUCAAACGACUUAGUAAUAGAUGUAAAAAAUUAUUUUGAUAACUCCACAUCCAUAAACUAUUGUCCUUACAAUAAUCGCUAGUUUAGAAAAUAAUUCUUAUAAACACUCGUAUUUGCUUUUAGGCACGUUAAUAAUAAAAUAUUGUGACUAUGGGUACGAUUCCCGUGACAUAGUCAUGAUACAUAAUCUUCAAUUCGAGUGCAGGUUUCAUGCGACGUGACCAUAACUUCAAAUAAUAAUAAUAAUAAAUAAACAUGUUGCAAAUCGCGGGUGCGUUUCACGUGGCGCGAUUCACAAUGUGUACAAAAACAAUGAGUGUGCGACAUCUCGACUUGUUCAGAUAAUUCCAUAUUUUUAAUAAAUAAAAGCGGACAUAGGUAAAACAUGAAAAUCAAUAAAACACAGUUUAUCCAAAAUAAUAUAAGCCAAAUAUUGUCAAUAAAGUGACCGUGCUAGAACCACGGGACUCGAGGAAUGUCUUACACCUUCUCCUCGGUCAACAGAAUUCCUUAUCCGGAUUUUAUUUUCGCAGACUAAUAAUAAAAGAGUCAAACAUUCCUUUGACUAGGGAUUCAAAUAAAAUAUGACUUGGAACACCGAAAAAAUCAAUUUCAAGUGACGACUCUGUAAAUAAAAUAAUCUUUAUUCAAAUUUGUCGCUUCAAUUGGAAAAACUCUUUAACCCACAAUCUAUAACAUAACACAUAAUAUCUUUUUGGGGGUAAUAUCAAGAAUUAUAUAUGAUAAGUGGCUUGCUCAUGAAAUAUUUCUAGAACACUCUGAAUAUAAAUCUAAAGCUCCAUUAAUUAUCACACGUCAAUUUACUCAACGAGGCAAUUUUAAUUAUUCCAAGGGCAAAACAUCAAAUACUCAAAACCGUGGUGGUCACUCUUUAAAUUCUUCUGCGAACUAUCGAACCCAGCCUGCAUGGCAACAAUUUCAACAACAGGCCAACAAACAAUUGCACCACUCAACAAAACAAAGUUCAGUGUCAAUUAUGUGAUAAAUUUGGACACAUUGCAAAUGUGUGUCGUUCAAAAGCUCACAAUCCCUUUGAGGCACAUGCAAACUUUAUCAGUCGAUCCUACUAUGGCAUCAACACAGCAGGUUCUUGGGUAGUAGACUCGGGAGCAUCUCACCAUAUCACAGAUAGUCCAUAUAAUCUACAAUACGCAUUUGAAUUCUCAAGCAAUGAAGAGAUUAUAAUUGGUGAUGGUAAUGGCAUUUCAAUCACUCACAUUGCAGUACUACUCUUUCCUCUCCUUCUAAUAUUACUCCCCUAUAAUUGAACAAUGUUCCCCUAAUAUUAAAAGAAAGUUAAUUUCUGUUGCUCAGUUUUAUCGACAAAAUCUUACAUUUAUUGAAUUUUCCCCCUACUCUUUUCAUGUGAAGGAUUUGACAGCAGGGGCAUACCCACUUCAAGGUCAGAGUAAAAGGAUAUAUUCACGAGUGGCCAAUGAAUAAAUUAGGCUC
rnacentral:lncRNA from 1 species